rnacentral:rRNA from 1 species
CAGCCGUAAACUAUGCUCGCUAGGUGUCAGGCAUGGCGCGACCGUGUCUGGUGCCGCAGGGAAGCCGUGAAGCGAGCCACCUGGGAAGUACGGCCGCAAGGCUGAAACUUAAGGAAUUGGCGGGGGAGCACAACAACGGGUGGAGCCUGCGGUUUAAUUGGACUCAACGCCGGACAACUCACCGGGGACGACAGCAGUAUGUAGGCCAGGCUGAAGACCUUGCCUGAAUCGCUGAGAGGAGGUGCAUGGCGUAG